GAUGAACGCUGGCGGCGUGCCUAAUACAUGCAAGUCGAGCGAACAGACGAGGAGCUUGCUCCUCUGACGUUAGCGGCGGACGGGUGAGUAACACGUGGAUAACCUACCUAUAAGACUUGGAUAACUUCGGGAAACCGGAGCUAAUACCGGAUAAUAUAUUGAACCGCAUGGUUCAAUAGUGAAAGACGGUUUUGCUGUCACUUAUAGAUGGAUCCGCGCCGAAUUAGCUAGUUGGUAAGGUAACGGCUUACCAAGGCAACGAUGCGUAGCCGACAUGAGAGGGUGAUCGGCCACACUGGAACUGAGACACGGUCCAGACUACUACGGGAGGCAGCAGUAGGGAAUAUUCCGCAAUGGGCGAAAGCUUGACGGAGCAACGCCGCGUGAGUGAUGAAGGUCUUCGGAUCGUAAAACUCUGUUAUUAGGGAAGAACAAAUGUGUAAGUAACUAUGCACGUCUUGACGGUACCUAAUCAGAAAGCCACGGCUAACUACGUG
rnacentral:rRNA from 1 species